CUAUAUUUUUUUUGGCUUUUCUGGACUAUAGGAAAUUAAUUAAAAACAGCAAAGGAUUAGAAGUCUCUCACCGAAGAACCUUGCUCUGAUUACCAACUGAUGCGAACCCGCUAGGGUUUUUGGCCUGAUCUUUUGAUGAGAGGCGCUGGAUAACUCGAUUAGUGGAUGGAGAUGACGUUCACGGCCCGACUACAGCCCUCAAGACCGCGCCUUAGCAACCGAUACACCACGUCCAACAGCCGUCACGAUCUUGUGGAGCGCGACAACCAGCCCCUAGGGCUCCCGUCCUGCAAGCAAUCGAAGAACUAGCAAGAACGAGGAAACAAGCACUGAAUUUGCAAGAUGAAUUGAAGGUUUCAAACUGAAUCUGAAUCAACAAUGGGG
rnacentral:lncRNA from 1 species